rnacentral:tRNA from 1 species
UAGUGUAAUGGAUUAGCACGGUAGAUCAGAUAUCUGUAGAUGCGGGUUCGAAUCCCGC